rnacentral:rRNA from 3 species
ACCCUUUAAUGUUUGAUGUUCUAACGUGGACCCGUGAUCCGGGUUGCGGACAGUGUCUGGUGGGUAGUUUGACUGGGGCGGUCUCCUCCUAAAGAGUAACGGAGGAGCACGAAGGUUGGCUAAUCCUGGUCGGACAUCAGGAGGUUAGUGCAAUGGCAUAAGCCAGCUUGACUGCGAGCGUGACGGCGCGAGCAGGUGCGAAAGCAGGUCAUAGUGAUCCGGUGGUUCUGAAUGGAAGGGCCAUCGCUCAACGGAUAAAAGGUACUCCGGGGAUAACAGGCUGAUACCGCCCAAGAGUUCAUAUCGACGGCGGUGUUUGGCACCUCGAUGUCGGCUCAUCACAUCCUGGGGCUGAAGUAGGUCCCAAGGGUAUGGCUGUUCGCCAUUUAAAGUGGUACGCGAGCUGGGUUUAGAACGUCGUGAGACAGUUCGGUCCCUAUCUGCCGUGGGCGCUGGAGAACUGAGGGGGGCUGCUCCUAGUACGAGAGGACCGGAGUGGACGCAUCACUGGUGUUCGGGUUGUCAUGCCAAUGGCACUGCCCGGUAGCUAAAUGCGGAAGAGAUAAGUGCUGAAAGCAUCUAAGCACGAAACUUGCCCCGAGAUGAGUUCUCCCUGAGACUUUAGGUCUCCUGAAGGAACGUUGAAGACGACGACGUUGAUAGGCCGGGUGUGUAAGCGCAGCGAUGCGUUGAGCUAACCGGUACUAAUGAACCGUGAGGCUUAACCUUACAAC